rnacentral:rRNA from 1 species
UACGUAGGGUGCGAGCGUUGUCCGGAAUCAUUGGGCGUAAAGCGCGCGUAGGUGGCCUCGUAAGUCCGCUGUGAAAGUCAAAGGCUCAACCUUUGAAAGCCGGUGGAUACUGUGAGGCUAGAGUACGGAAGAGGCGAGUGGAAUUCCUGGUGUAGCGGUGAAAUGCGCAGAUAUCAGGAGGAACACCAAUGGCGAAGGCAGCUCGCUGGGACGGUACUGACGCUGAGGCGCGAAAGCGUGGGGAGCAAACAGG